AUUGAACGCUGGCGGCGUGCCUAACACAUGCAAGUCGAGCGGCAGCGCGGGAGCAAUCCUGGCGGCGAGCGGCGGACGGGUGAGUAACGCUUGGGAAUCUGCCUGUUAGUGGGGGACAAC
rnacentral:rRNA from 1 species